rnacentral:rRNA from 1 species
GNAGGGUGCGAGCGNNAUCCGGAANNAUUGGGCGUAAAGGGCNNGUAGGNGGCNGGUNGCGUCUGUCGUGAAAGCUCAUGGCNUAACNGUGGGNNUGCGGUGGGUACGGGCUGGCUUGAGUGCAGUAGGGGAGACUGGAAUNCCUGGUGUAGCGGUGGAAUGCGCAGAUAUCAGGAGGAAUACCGGUGGCGAAGGCGGGUCUCUGGGCUGUUACUGACGCUGAGGAGCGAAAGCGUGGGGAGCGAACAGGAUUAGAUACCCUGGUAGUCCAUGCUGUAAACGUUGGGAACUGGGUGUGGGGGGCUUUUUUGUCUUCUGCGUCGUAGCUAACGCGUUAAGUUCCCCGCCUGGGGAGU